GCCAGAGACGCCAGCCUGCAGGAGCCACACGACACUCAAUGAAUCCAAGACCAGGCCUCUUCUCCCUUCAAUGGAUUGUUCGGCAGAGAUGUAAAUGGACACAGGAGGGUCAAGAUGUUUGCUCCAUAAUGGCUGAGCCUUAGCUAAGAGGACCCGAGAACUAGAGGUAAAAUCUCGGAGGUGCCAGAGGAAAUCAGAGCCAAGAGAUGACAAGCAAAAUAGAGCCACGUGGAGCAUGCUUAUGUGCUGCAUUUGGCUGUGUCUGAAAGCCAUGCCUGCACCACCCAACCGCAAGAACCAAUAACUUUCUCCAUGUCAGUUAAGUCCAUUUGAGUUGAGGUUCCUGUCGCUUAUAGUCAAAAUAUUUCAAAGUACCAUAGUAUGGAUAUAUUAUGUAUGACCUAGUUAAGUGGUGUUUUGGGCUGCUUAUGAAAAUAAAUGCAACGAUUGGUCUCUA